rnacentral:lncRNA from 1 species
AGCAGAAAUGAUUGAAUGAAAAAAAAGGNGAACACCCCCCUUUGGAACCCCCUUUUUUUGCUGUAACUACUUGAGCCGGAUGAGAGGAAACCUUCACGUCGGCCUCCGUUUUGUUUUCAUUGACUUGUGACUCUUGGGCCUCUCCAGACGGCCUUCGAAGCUUCCAAGGUUGAGAAGGAGCUGUUCUCAGGACAAAUGCCAGAUGCCCAGAAUCCACUCUUAUUGAAUCCCCUGCUUGAGAAGAAGCUGUUCGCAUUGCUCUAGCGCAAGAGCAUGGUAGCCAAGACAGAAGGGAGAGGCAUCAUUUUUCGGCUUAUUCCACUUGCUAUCUUGAAGGGCAGUAGCAUAUGAUUUGCUGUAGUAGGUACCCAUGGUGCAAAAGAAUACGCAGCUGACCAGAGUCGGGUUUCCCGUUUACCCACAACGGAGGAGCCGCCCCCACCAACCAAAGCAGGCAGGCGGCCAGCGUCAGCGUAGCGAUCCCCAAUUUCAUCAGCUGACAUUGGGCCUUUGUUGCUUUCGGACCGACUUUCAUUGAUGGCAGAUGUUGUAUCAGCUCGGCUUGGAGCUCUUUCUUUUUUACUUU